CCUACGGGGGGCAGCAGUGAGGAAUAUUGGUCAAUGGCCGAGAGGCUGAACCAGCCAAGUAGCGUGAAGGAUGACGGCCCUAUGGGUUGUAAACCUCUUUUGUCCGGGAGUAAAACGAGUCACGUGUGACUCUUUGAAUGUACCCGAUGAAUAAGCAUCGGCUAACUCCGUGCCAGCAGCCGCGGUAAUACGGAGGAUGCGAGCGUUAUCCGGAUUUAUUGGGUGUAAAGGGCGCGUAGGUGGUAUGUUAAGUCAGGUGUGAAAGCUUGCGGCUCAACGUGGGAACUGCCAUUGAAACUGGCAAACUGGAGUGCGUGAGAGGAUAGCGGAAUUCGUGGUGUAGGAGUGAAAUGCGUAGAUAUCAGGAGGAACAUCAGUGGCGAAGGCGACUUACUGGAACGUAACUGACGCUGAGGAGCGAAAGCGUGGGUAGCAAACAGGAUUAGAUACCCCAGUAGUC
rnacentral:rRNA from 1 species